GCGGGUGUAGUUCAAUGGUAGAACAUCAGCUUCCCAAGCUGAGAACGGGGGUUCGAUUCCCCUCACCCGCUCCG
rnacentral:tRNA from 1 species